rnacentral:rRNA from 1 species
GACGAACGCUGGCGGCGUGCUUAACACAUGCAAGUCGAACGGCAAGGCCCUGCUUUUGUGGGGUGCUCGAGUGGCGAACGGGUGAGUAACACGUGAGUAACCUGCUCUUGACUUUGGGAUAACUUCAGGAAACUGGGGCUAAUACCGGAUAGGAGCUCCUGCUGCAUGGUGGGGGUGGGAAAGUUUCGGCGGUUGGGGAUGGACUCGCGGCUUAUCAGCUUGUUGGUGGGGGAGUGGCGUACCACGGCUUUGACGGGUAGCCGGCCUGGGAGGGUGACCGGCCACAAGGGGACUGCGAUACGGCCCAGACUCCUACGGUAGGCAGCAGUGGGGAAUAUUGCACAAUGGGCGGAAGCCUGAUGCAGCAACGCCGCGGUCGUGAUGACGUCCUUCUGGGUGUAAACCGCUUUCGCCUGUGACGAAGCGUGAGUGACGGUAAUGGGUAAAUAAGCACCGGCUAACUACGUG